rnacentral:rRNA from 1 species
AGUGAACGCUGGCGGCGUGCCUAAUACAUGCAAGUCGAACGGAGUGGCGCACGGGUGAGUCAUAUAUAGCUAAUCUGCCCCUUGCUGGAGGACACCAGUUAGAAAUGACUGCUAAUACUCCAUCGCAAGGAGUGAGACUAUAUCGUAUCAGCUAGUCGGUGGGGUAACGGCCUACCGAGGGUAUGACGCGUAACUGGUCUGAGAGGAUGAUCAGUCACAUUGGAAGUGAGACACGGUCCAGACACCUACGGGAGGGAGCAGUAGGGAAUAUUGCGCAAUGGGGGAAUCCCUGACGCAGCAACGCCGCGUGGAGGAUGACACUUUUCGGAGCGUAAACUCCUUUUGUUAGGGAAGCGGUACCUAACGAAUAAGCACCGGCUAACUCCGUGCCAGCAGCCGCGGUAAUAC